UUUUUUUUACGGCCCUGUGUUCCUCUCACCUGUCGCUAACCCUAAAUUUCAUCUUCGUUACUCUGAGUUUGACGGCCAGGAUGACGAUCGAUGGUCCUUGGUUUUCCUGUAACGGAUCGAUCUAUGAUUACUAAGACUUUGGACUCAUUAAAUCAGACGCCAAGUAAUGACUCUUCAAUGCGUCGUUCCGUCGUCGAAAUCUCUAUUCGGAUUGAUCUAUGAUCUGUGAAUCUGCAACUAUAAAUAUCUCACGAAUGGCUGCAACGUAGGAGGCGCUGUGAUAUGAAAGAUGAUGAACUCAUCAAAGACAUAAGUCAUGAGAAAAAUAUAUGAAGGAGUUUCUCAUCAAGGAAUGUCAAUGUUACUUUGACACCUCGCCAAAAAGAUCUGACGAGCUUUUCAGAAACAUGGCGAGAAUAGAGAUACCAAUAAUAUAAUAAUGGGCAAGGAGUUCAAUAUCACCAUCCACAUCAAUGGUUUAUCCAUAUCUGGUUUUUGAGAUGCCACAACUGGUUACUGGUGUCUCCAGUGUCAAUGAUUAUGAAAGGAUUUUGCACUACAGAACAAGCCUAUAGGAGGACCAGUGUUCAUCACAAGUUUUUAAGCGUAGAAGAAUAAAACAGAGAGAUUUGUAGAUUAUAAAAAGAUUGUUUUUUGUCAACAGGUUAUAAAAAGAUUUAAUGAUAAAUUUUAUUCAAAAGAUUGCUAUUAUUAUGUGCAAUAUAUGAAAAUUUGAAUGUGCUUUAA